GAGUGCUCGCUGUUAAGGCGAGCCUGAGGGAGGGAGAUAGGACCAGGCACUCUCGCACACUGCUUGGCCCGCACGGAAGCCUCCUUGGAGUUCCCAAAGCCUUGCUGCAUCCCAUGACCCAAGUUUUGGGAGUCGUCUCCAUGCAUAGAUAUAAAUGCGUAAUAAACAGCACCUGCUCUCCAAACCACCCCGAGGUGACGCAGGAGCCUCGGUGGGAAGAAGUGGCUCAGGCCCCACAGGCUCUUUGCGUCACACCUGAAAGGAGAGAAGGUGGCCCAGGGCUGCAGCUUCUGGUUUGCUGAAAGAGGCUCGUAGGGAAUGAGUUUCUUGGCAGUCCUGCUGUAAUUUAGGAUUACAGAUAGGAUUGGGGCUGAAAAGGUCAGUCCUGCAUGCUGAGUACUGCUGGCUACAUUUCAGCUCUCCUACCUUAUGUAUGGAAGAUACCUAGCCCAGAUCUUGCAGGAGUGAAGCAAAGCAUGUGCCCUCCUCACCUGGGAGACUUCCUGAAGUAAGAAUCAGUGCCAGUGUUUCAGCCAACACCAAAGAGGUGCUGAGGGCACACACUGAGGGUACAGCAUCAAGCAAAGUAUUUUUUCAAUUAACUACUGGCAUGGAGUUGGUUUCAAAGCAAUUAAGUACAGUCCUAACUUCAUUUUUAGUAAGUGUUCCAUUUAGUAAGUGUUCCAUUACUAAAAUGGAAAGAAGCUAUUUGCUGAAGUAUUUUUGGUAGGGUCAACUCAAUUCAGGUUUCCUAAUUCAGCAACUGGCUUCCCCUCUGCUGCACUGUAAGGACAUCUGGGGGAACUGCUGAAUUGUUUUGAUGAUUGAGCAAUGUUGUAUCCAGCACUGCAUGGAUAGGAAGCAGCCAGCGUCCAAAAACAAGUCCCAGCUUUUGGUAGGAGCCUGUAAGCAUGGCACUUGAGUCAGUAAAAGCUGCCUUGUUCCAGAGGAGCAAGGAAAGUGGUCUGAUGUAAUGUUAUUUAAUCCAGGCACAUCUGCCUGAACAGUACUCCAAGCUUCAGCACCUCAGGUGGUGAGACGUGGUAGGAGCACCUGCAGAUGUUGUAUAGAUGAGAACUCUGUAGGACCAUGAAUAUUGGCAGGGCAGAAGUAUGCAAGUUCAAGGACAAGAUGUUUCAAGGAAGAAAAAAAUCAUCUCCAUCUGUGUAACGCAAUGCAUUUACCAGAAUUUGAAAAUACAAUUAUUUGAGGAAGAAGGUAAAGACUGUAAACCCUAGCUCAGAAUGGAUCCCAUACACAGAGAAACAUCUGUGUCAAAUCAGAUGCAACGUGUUUCUGAACUGUGAUGUUGCUGACCGCACUCAGGAUGCUGCUCCUUUCCUUUUACCUUUCAAGCCAGAAGGCAGGCUCUUAGUUUUUCAUCUUCAACUUUAGCUUUUUUAUUUGGUUGGUUUUGGUUUUUGGUUUUUUUGGUUUUUUGGGUUUUUUUUUUGGUUUUUUUUGGAGAGUCUUUUGUUGUUUUUUUAGGGAAAGGUUGUUCAGGUGUUUUUUAGCUUGAAAUCUACAUCAGUCUUCUGAAUUGUUUUGUUUACCUUAUUAUUUGCUAUUAUUUUCUAAUUAGUUCAUGUUCACUUUGUACUUGGUAUGAAACAAACAAACAACCUAGGACAGAUACACAGCCUGUUUCCAAGACCCCUACUUCACUGUAUGCUCUGUUUCCUUAGACCUCUAAUGCCCACGUCAUGCCUGGAGAAGAAUCAAAGCCUAAGAUUUGUCCUUACUGGCCAAGAAUAACAGUUUCUCUCUUCCUUCCUCUCACAUUGUCCAUUCCAUACCCUGUUAAAUUCACAAAGGAAGGAGUAGUUUAGCACCUUCUUCUUCCAUAAUCACAGGAACAGGGAAUUAAACCUCAUGCUUACUAAGAUGCAGCAUAUGGUCUCACCACCUAGGUGAGAAGUUAUUAUACUAUCUGCAAAACAAUUAUCACCAAAGCUACUGCCUCUUCUGGCUGUGUUUUCAAGAGCAAAUCAAAUCAGGCUACACAGACAGUCUGACCUCAUGCAACAGAAUAAAGGAGCAACAGCUGUUUAUUUUAAGAGUCUUGCAGACAUUCUUUUGACAGCAGUAAUUGGUGUCCAACUUCCAGGCAAGUUUGAGAGAUCCUUCCCAUAUUCAUGUUCCCUGGCAGGUGAUUUUUGCAUCUCUUCCCUUCCAACAGCCACUACAAGUAAUGUCUAACUCGUACUAGUCACUAAACCCUGGUGCACCCAAUAUGUUUGAGAAUCCAGGCAUCCCAGAGGUGCUUCAUGCAGACCAACACCACCUUCACACAGUCCUGCAGGGAAUCUUUUAGCAUGUAUAGUCCUGGGCUGUAUAGUCUGCUUCCCUCUCUGCUUAGCUCUCCCAAAGCUAGAGAUAGAAUAGCAAAAUCUUUUCAGGGCACUUGCCCUUGCAGGUGGUAGAAAAACUUCCUUUGGACCACAGCUGCAUUUCUACAAAACUAGAGGGAUUCUUGUUUUCCUCACACCUUGCAAUGCUUGUCCCUAUUUGUACAUUACCUCAUAAACAAAGCACAAGUGUUACAUUUUAUAAAAGAAAAUAAAACAUGCCAUAUUAUUCCUGAACUGAGCAUGCUCAGUUCCUCAGUUCUAGAACUGUUUUCAGACAUUCCACAAUUAAUGCACACAGCAAUAGGCAGCACAGAGUACUGAAGGACUGGAAUGACGUAACUGAGAGCUGAUUUUCCAACUUAUGUGUAAAAUGGCUUGGACUAGGCUGAAACAGGAGCCAGAUUAUAGCUGGCAGGAGGAUAAGCACUGUCCAAAGGCAAGGCAAAAUGAGGGCUUCCGUCCCAAAGAGUAAAUUCAGAACUUCAAGGAACACUUGAGAACUGAGAUAGCCAUGUAGUACUCUUACAGUAACUUCACUUUUGGAAAAACAAAUGUUAUUUCAAUGCUGAGAGAAGAGCUGAGCUUUCACCCUUUACAAGAAGCUAGGAAAGCACCGUGUCUUUUCAAUGAGGCUGUGUAGCCAGGGACUACUGUGGCAGCAAACACACAGGGAGUGCUAAUGCAAGGGUACAUUUUCAGAAAAGACUCUGCACAAUUUUUGUAUUAAGGAAGAUGUAUUGUCGCAUGUUUGUUGCAAAAAUAAAAACAGGGAAAACCAUCCUGCCUAGCUACAGGUGCUUUCAUUUAAGAUAACACCACAGCAUGCAGCCUGGUCUAUUAACAUUCAGGUCAGCUCUCAUGCACCCACCACGACCUCACUGCUUUCUUGACUCAGCAGAAAAAGGGGUUUAUGAAAAAAUAUGGAAGCACCCCUCAAAUGUUUUUUGAAAGCUACUGUCAGUUAAACCUGUGCAAAUAUUUUUAGAAUAAUCUCUCCCAUGCUUCCUCACCGAAGUAUGGAAAAUACACAUUUAUAUUUGUAAAGGGGGAAAAAAGGCUCUGAAAAAACCAGGCAAUUACUUUGACACUAUUUAGAGUAUAAAGAGUUCCAAAUUCUUACUUUUGGAGACAUACUCAGAAUAAAUUAACUGUCCAACGUGAGAGUACAAAAGUUAUUUUGAUUCCACCAGUAUUAGUGGGGAUUUAACUUUUUUCCACUUCUUUCCCACAACACAGGCACAUGUGACCAAAAUGUGACCCAACAGCCUGAAAGACCAGGAGAUAAAAGCAUAAAAUUUUGAUUAAUUCUUUCCCUGUAUAUCAACUAUAAGUUAAAACAUUACCAGUGAGAGAACUGUAGUUAAAGUUGAUCAACCCAAACUUUUACUAGCCCUGAAAGCAGAUAAUGCAAAACAAUGCAAAUGCAAAGUAUUCACAAGGAUUUGCCAUCUACUAGAAUUUCCAGAUACAUUAUUUAGACUUAUAAUUUUACAAAACCCAUGUUCUUUCCAAGAAUACAGUUCUACAUAGCAGAAUCUACAAAAUAAUUUUAAUCUGAAUAACAGAAGAUUGUUUUUCUGUGAACAAGUCUGGGACUCCAAAGAGCUGGAAGUGUGAUAAUGCAACUCAGUCAAAUGUGUGUGAUCAUCCACAACACGCAAGUACAAAAAUGAUGAUGGUCAUGCUCUGUGACAGGGAAACCUGACAAAGCAUCCAAGUAAUGGACAUGGCAGAAGAAGUGAAUGGAGGCAAUACACUCUGUGUGUUUAAGGAAUCUCCAAUGCAGGGAACAUUUCCCUGUGGCCCAGUAUCAAGGUUUUCUGUGUAAUGUAUUACAGCAUGGAUCUAUUGUGUGUUGAAUGCACAUUGCAUGUGUGAAAAUACCCAGCCUCAUUCCAGCUCCAAGGGAACAGGGCAUACCACCUUGUAUUUCUUCACAUUUCAGUCAUGCUCUACAGCAAAAAACUGUGUAAACCAUACAGUGUUCCUUCUCAAGGAGAAAUAUCUGUAUCACUGCAUUCACAGCCAUCUGUUUUUUAUUCCAUGUUAUUUUUUAAGAUAAAUUUUUAAGGAUGAAAAGCACAGUGAACAAUAUCAUUCAUAAUAAGCUUCUAAUUUUCUACUCUUUUUUCUACAUACACUAGCAGAAGAAGAGUUUGAAAUUUGAGUAGAUAAAGGUAAACAAUAUGCAAGAGUUAUUUGCUUUUGUUUAAUGUCUUGAAGAAACAUAGGUGAGUUUUUUUGUUCUGUUAUUAAAACCAGCACUUCUUGUUAUACCUCCAAAGCUUCCAACCACAGCCUUUGGAUCUGACUGGAGAUAACAUUCCACCAUAAUUUUAAAUAUUUCAGAAAGGGGUGGGGAAAAAUGAAACAAAGAUGCAUUCAACUACAUCUUCAAAACAUGUGUAU